UACGGAGGGUGCAAACGUUGCUCGGAAUCAUUGGGCGUAAAGCGCACGUAGGCGGUCGGCUAUGUCGGAUGUGAAAGCCUCGGGCUUAACCCGAGAAGGGCAUCCGAAACUGGCCGGCUUGAGUACGGAAGAGGGUCUCGGAAUUCCCGGUGUAGAGGUGAAAUUCGUAGAUAUCGGGAGGAACACCAGUGGCGAAGGCGACUACCUGGCCUGUUUCUUGACGCUGAGGCGCGAAAGCUAGGGGAGCAAACGGG
rnacentral:rRNA from 1 species